UCAGGGGUGGUUCAGUGGUAGAAUUCUCACCUUCCAUGUGGGAGACACCGGUUCAGUUCCCAUCCAUUGCA
rnacentral:tRNA from 1 species